rnacentral:rRNA from 1 species
GAUGAACGCUGGCGGCGUGCCUAAUACAUGCAAGUCGAGCGAACGGACGAGAAGCUUGCUUCUCUGAUGUUAGCGGCGGACGGGUGAGUAACACGUGGAUAACCUACCUAUAAGACUGGGAUAACUUCGGGAAACCGGAGCUAAUACCGGAUAAUAUUUUGAACCGCAUGGGUCAAAAGUGAAAGACGGUCUUGCUGUCACUUAUAGAUGGAUCCGCGCUGCAUUAGCUAGUUGGUAAGGUAACGGCUUACCAAGGCAACGAUGCAUAGCCGACCUGAGAGGGUGAUAGGCCACACUAGAACUGAGACACGGUACAGACUCCUACGGGAGGCAGCAGUAGGGAAUCUUACGCAAUGGGCGAAAGCCUGACGGAGCAACGCCGCGUGAGUGAUGAAGGUCUUCGGAUCGUAAAACUCUGUUAUUAGGGAAGAACAUAUGUGUAAGUAACUGUGCACAUCUUGACGGUACCUAAUCAGAAAGCCACGGCUAACUACGUG